rnacentral:rRNA from 1 species
CAGUCGCCACGGGAAUACGGAGGGUGCAAGCGUUACUCGGAAUCACUGGGCGUAAAGGACGCGUAGGCGGAUUAUCAAGUCUCUUGUGAAAUCUAACGGCUUAACCGUUAAACUGCUUGGGAAACUGAUAAUCUAGAGUAAGGGAGAGGCAGAUGGAAUUCUUGGUGUAGGGGUAAAAUCCGUAGAUAUCAAGAAGAAUACCUAUUGCGAAGGCGAUCUGCUGGAACUUAACUGACGCUAAUGCGUGAAAGCGUGGGGAGCAAACAGGAUUAGAUACCCCCGUAGUCCCUGUCUCUUAUAC